rnacentral:lncRNA from 1 species
AGCGGUCCCUAACCUUUUCAUUUUUUGCAAUCUUUUACUCUAAUCUUUAUUUUGUGCUAACGAAGAUCCCUAACCUUUCAUAAAUAUGCACUUGAGGUCUAUUUGGACAGAAACUGUCCAAGGCACAUCGGUUGCAAUAAGCUUCCAUAAAAAUCGUCCAAAUCACCGUCCGAAAAGGUAUCAACAUCCAAUAAAAUCAUCACGAUAACAAACAGUUCAAGGAAUUUUCCCGAUCAACUGAUGAUGUUUUGGAUGGUUUCCGUCCAGAAGGACCUUAUAUGUAUAUUUAUGAAAGGUUAGAGAUCUUCGUUAGCAUAAAAUGAAAGUUAAGGUAAAAAUCUACAAAAAAUGAAAAGUAUAAGAACCGCUACUAUAACUUUAUCUUAUUGAAAUGGAAAAUUAAGAAAUAGGGGAGUGUAAUUUUCACUUCGGUACAUGUGAAUAUUCUUGUAAGUGGGUUUUUCUCUACAUGGACCCAGCUAAGGUGACGGGCUUUUAACCCCGUGACAAGGGACUGCUUUUUCAGCCCAAAAGAAAUAAGCAUCAUUGAAUAUGAGAAAAUUUACACAAAUAGCACUUGAUGGGGAUAAUUCCAAUAACGGAAAAGAACAGACUGUACAAAUUCCAAUAUCGGAAAAGAAC